rnacentral:rRNA from 1 species
UGGGGAAUAUUGCACAAUGGGCGAAAGCCUGAUGCAGCAACGCCGCGUGAGUGAUGAAGGCCUUCGGGUUGUAAAGCUCUGUCUUUUGGGACGAUAAUGACGGUACCAAAGGAGGAAGCCACGGCUAACUACGUGCCAGCAGCCGCGGUAAUACGUAGGUGGCAAGCGUUGUCCGGAUUUACUGGGCGUAAAAGGAUGCGUAGGCGGAUUUUUAAGUGAGAUGUGAAAUACCCGGGCUUAACUUGGGUGCUGCAUUUCAAACUGGGAAUCUAGAGUGCGGGAGAGGAGAAUGGAAUUCCUAGUGUAGCGGUGAAAAUGCGUAGAGAUUAGGAAGAACACCAGUGGCGAAAGGCGAUUCUCUGGACCGUAACUGACGCUGAGGCAUGAAAAGCGUGGGUAGCAAAACAGGAUUAGAUACCCUGGUAGUCCACGCCGUAAAACGAUGAGUACUAGGUGUAGGAGGUAUCGACCCCUUCUGUGCCGCAGUU